UACGAAGGGGGCUAGCGUUGCUCGGAAUCACUGGGCGUAAAGCGCACGUAGGCGGCUUUUUAAGUCAGGGGUGAAAUCCUGGAGCUCAACUCCAGAACUGCCUUUGAUACUGAGAAGCUUGAGUCCGGGAGAGGUGAGUGGAACUGCGAGUGUAGAGGUGAAAUGCGUAGAGAUCCGGAGGAACCCCAGAGGCGAAGGCGGCGUCCUGGCUCGCAUCUGACGCUCAGACACGACAGCAUGGGGAGCGAACGGG
rnacentral:rRNA from 1 species